GACUGAGUCACAAUGGGCUGGGGUGUUAGGAGGACAGCAGAGUUAGUUAAAUUCAGAUGGAAGAAGGCCAAGUCAAGAAGGGACCAUGCUGAAGCCAAAAACACUCAAACUGGUGACAAAUCUUACCAGAGCACAGACUACAGAGAUAUGGUCCUUAAUAUUAUUGGAGGUGCAAACUGACAAACUUUGCAUGGGAUUCAAAGUACUGUAAGGGAUGCUGAGCCCACAAAUGUAGAGAAAACUGAUCCAGUUCUUUCUAAUGAAGAGGACACACUUGUUCUUGUUGUGGACAGUGGAUCAGCUCUAGUAGAACCAGCAUCUACUACAUCAGAAGGCUGGCGUCUGGUUCCUGGUCCCCGCUUCGAUCUCCACACCUGCUCAUCAUCACUCACCUGCUGCUCAUCAUUCAUGAUUGCUCCUGCCAUUAUUUAAGGCCACACUGGAGUGCUGGUUUUUGCUGGGUUGUUGUACUCACCUUGCCUUAGACACUGAGUGAGUGUGACUGAGUCACAGACUGUGUGAAGAGGAGUGUCCUGGACCUGCCCCUGGAUUUGUGUUAGAGUCCUGCCUGACAUCUGUGACAACAUAGUCUUUGAAAUUGUGUAACUUCUUUUUUAAAGAACACCUUCAUAUGCCAUAUUGUUUAUAUUUAGUAGUUGUUUAGUCAGUGGACUGAAUGUUACAAAGAAAGUUACCACCAGAGCUCUUCUUUGUAACACUUGAAAUAAACACACUUAAAAGUA